AUACCUUUCUCGGCCUUUUGGCUAAGAUCAAGUGUAGUAUCUGUUCUUAUCAGUUUAAUAUCUGAUAUAUGGACCACACGAUAUUAACUCUAUUUUUUUUAGGGUGAAAGUCUAAUAAGAUAGCUUGCUAUCUGGGUUUUCGCGAGUCAUCCAUGCGUCGCACUAUAGCAUGGCCUGGCUCAACCCAC
rfam:Brassica rapa chromosome A7, whole genome shotgun sequence.